UGAUUUUGCAAGAAAUCGAUUGUGUUGUAAUGUCGCUUUUAAUUUCGCAAAUUUUAUAGAGACAAACACCUUUGCGAAUUUUAUUUAAGAAUAUUUCAUUUCUCAUGACAUGCGCAUUUCAAAGUUAUAUUCCAUAUUCUUCGCGAUAAAACAUAAAUAUCAUUUCGUUAAUUCAUAAAGAUAUUUAUACCUUGGAUGAUUUGGUAAUAACAGAUCUCUUUUUCUAACUAAACUCUCCCUCGAUUUGCUCUAUCAAUUUAUUAAUCUCCUGUAAAUUAUUCAAAGCGAAGAAAAAUCCAAAACCUAGGUUUUGUUACGAACCCCCUUGAUUUUACUUUUAACGCGAACGCUUCUCGCGCGAAACGCACUGAAGCGGCCCUGAACGUGGAUGGGAGAACUCGCUCGCGCGUGGACGCAUGAUGUAACGAAUUCGCAGGUAGCGUGACUUCGAUUCCCACCAAAUAGUCACGCUACUCGCACCGCCAGUCGUGCCGUGGUCGGCAACUAGAUCGCCUUAAUACGAUGCACGGAAUAACACUCGGGACGGUACGCGCGUCGCGGAAGGCCGCGCGGAUGAUUUGUCGCGGCGGAACGUGCGAAAAUUACACGGAGGAGUUGGCGCGCAAACGAGCCGGAUGUAAGCUGCGUUUUUGCACGGCUGCGCUGCGGUUUCUUUCUCGCGUCGGACAGCAUUCGCGGCGAGCACUUCGUCGGUUAGCCGAGAGUCAUUUAUAGGGCCUCAACAAUCGGGUGUACCGUUCGCACCGUUGAGAUACUACUCCGUUAUUGAUGGCCCUUGUUAAAAUUAUUCGCGUGAUUUAUACCGGAUUAUAUGGUCGUACGUCGUUUGUAUUUAUCUGCCUUUAAGCACACCGUGUCCGCUCUCGCGUUUUCUCUCGUCAAGGAAUUUUAUCAGAAUGAUAAAUAAUUCUCUGCUCGGCAGACGUUAUGUACUUUGUACGUUUUGACAAGUUGGUCUUUACGUAUUAAUGCGCGCGCAAUUUCCUCAACUGAAUUCAACAGCCCUCUGGCUGGUCCUCCAGCGCGGCUAAAGCCUUUGUAUACUGGACUAUAGUAUUAUAACUAAUUACGACGGUAGAGCCGAAACCGCCAGUGUACAUGAAUAUGUAAUACUGUAUACUUGCAUAUGUAAUUAUGUAAUCCUAUCUAAUUCUAUAAUCUGACUCUAUAAAUAAUUCCGUAUAAUACUAAAAUAAGAGUAGUAUGGUAAAAAGGCAUUAGUUUCUAUACACAGGUCACGUUUUUUGGAUAAGAUGUACAAGCAAUUUAUAUUCGAAAACAAAAACAGAAAAGACGAAAGGACCAGAGUGAAGAACGAAUGCACUGGGCCAGCGUCGGAGUUUCACAAAUAUAAAGGGCCGCUAACAAUGAACGAGGCGUCGCAGAAAAGAAAGCAGACCGAGCUGGGCGAGAGAACAAGAGCGCGAGGCUCUCUCUAAAAAUACUUGGUUUUAUGGGAUCAUAACGCCGCGCGAGUUCGUUUCUCGCGGGGCGUGCAGCCAGGCCUACCCACCCGCUCAUAAAUCCCUUUGGCCGUUAGGUUCACGUGUGAAAUUGCUAUUACGUCUCGGUCCUACCGCAGCUGUCGCUACGCGGAAACCGCUCGUGUGUGUGUGUGUGUGUGUGUGUGUGUAUUCCUAAGUCGACAGUGUUUCACACCCGAUCAUCGAAUCGAGCGAGACGGCCUGGAUCAAUUAACUAAAAGUCGCGAAACGAAGAUAUUGCCCGUCGCCUGCCAGGCGUCGACGAAAACAAAUCGUCGCUGGCUUCAAAUUGUAAUUUUAUUAUAAUAGAUAAAUUAUGAAAUUUAAAAAAUUCGAUGAAUAUGGAAUUCGAUAGCGGUAGAGUAUAAUGGAUAUAUCUCUCUUUAAGAAAAAAUAUGGAAGAUUUACUUUCGAAAAUUACGAAAGCCUUACUAAAUAAAGGGAAAAUAUUAAUUUAUAUUAAAAACAAAUUAUUUAGAUUUAAGAAUUCUUAAUAUCUAAGUUUCAGAUUGUUUUAUUAAAAUCUUUAGCUAUUUUACAAGGUUGAAUUUGAAGAUCCGUGAAAAACGCAAAAAAUCGGAAACCAAAAAAUACAAAAACCUAACAGGAAGAUUUUAUGGGGUUUAUUUAGUUCCAUGGAUGUAUGUUCUAUUGGAGUUAUAUCGCCACUGACAUUAAUUCUAUGCGAUUAUAUGGAAGCAAGAAGCUCAAUAUGCGCAACGAGCCUCGCCACUAAUGUCAAUUACCGUUAAUCUACCUAAUUGCUCACGGAUAAUUUCUAAUUGAAAGUAUAACGUUCAAAUGAGUGGGCUUAAUCUUCAUCGAUUAUGGAUAAAGGCUGAUAAUGGCAUAAGCGUUUUGCAAGACAGAUAAAACUACAACGCAAUAUUCAAACGAAAAUAACCGAUAAAAAUCCUCAAUGUCGAGAAAUAGGAACGAACGCGAUAACAGCUGCGCAACAGUUUUUACUGUACGCUAAUUGCUAUUCCGCAUAAUUAUCACUGCGCCUUCCAACGCGACUCACCUUCGCUAUUCUUUACCCGACCUAUAACUGCGAUGUAAUCGUGAAUGAUAGUUUCCGGAAUAAAUCUAUGCAAUUAAUAAACAUGAUUAGAAAACAUAUUAAACUUGUUGAUUAUUUUUCCAAAAACAUCGUUAAAUAUGAACGUCUAAUAUCUUUAUUGUAAAAAUGUAGCUGAAGCUAGCAGCCAAACACAGCAGCCAAUUGCCGAGCGGCCAGAGCUGAACGUCAUAUAGACGUUUCUAGGGGGCACCAUUCGAUCAAACGUUAAAAAUUCCCUGGUUAUGAGAUUUUCAACGAACUUUGAAAAGUUUGCAUAGGGUUUAGUCAUUAUAAUACAUAAUCGAUCAUUUGCGGCAAGACUUUAAUUUACCAAUUAUUAUAAAAUUUUUAAAUUAUCAUACAGAUGACACGUCUUUUUUAGAAAAAGGAUUACGUUCGUCAGACGAACACAAGAAACGCUGUCUUCAAAUUUCUACGAAAAUACUUUUUGAAGUCUAAAACGACUUAUUUAACCGUAUAUGAGAAAUUUUAUGAAAAUGCACUUUUGCAAAACAUAAUUGAUUACCAGAAUAAUGCAACAAUUUUUUUUUGUAAAGUACAUUACCGCUUUUUGCUGCACGCAGAGCCGACGACGAGGACGUAGCGGUUUCACGGUUCCCCAAA
rnacentral:lncRNA from 1 species